AAGGACAUGGGACUCCUCCUGCCAGAUUACAGAUGGUUCACUACAGUUGACAUCCUGGCUGACAACUGUGAAAAAGAACCUUGGAUUAUUUUAUUUUAUUUUUGUGGGACACCACAAUCCCAAAUCCAAAGGACGCAUCAGGCUUCAAGCUCCCUGUAGAAUUCGAAAAUAACCUUUUCUAAUGAGGAUGUCUGAUACUGUUACUGUAAAAGAUGAAACUGCAACAAUGAAGGAUUUGGAGGCAGAAGUGAAAGAUACAACCAGAGUUGAAAAUCUUAUAAAAUCAGAAAACUGUGGGAAGAUUUUGGUAGAGAAGAAUGAACAUUGUAUUGAAAACAAUAUAGAUUUGCAGCGGCCAUUGCAGUCAUUUGGACAGACAGGAAAAAGGUCUAAGUCAAGCUCAAAGUUAAAGCUAGUUCGGAGCCUUGCAGUGUGUGAAGAAUCUCCACCACCCCCUGCACCAGAGAUAUCACAGGAGAACCAGGAGAAAAUUCAGAUCCAGUUAACACAAUCAUUUGAGAAAGAAGAGAAGCCCUCAAAAGAUGAAGCAGAAAAAGAAAAGGCCAGUGAUAAGUUGCCCAGAAAAAUGUUAUCAAGAGAUUCCAGUCAAGAAUACACUGAUUCAACUGGCAUAGAUCUACAUGAAUUUUUAGUAAAUACAUUAAAAAACAAUCCCAGGGACAGAAUGAUGCUGCUGAAAUUGGAACAAGAAAUUUUAGAUUUCAUUGGUAAUAAUGAGUCUCCACGUAAAAAAUUCCCCCCAAUGACAUCUUACCAUAGGAUGCUAUUACACAGAGUAGCCGCUUACUUUGGAUUAGACCACAAUGUUGAUCAGAGUGGGAAGUCUGUCAUAGUAAACAAAACUAGCAAUACAAGAAUACCUGAUCAGAAAUUUAAUGAACAUAUUAAGGAUGAUAAAGGUGAAGACUUUCAGAAACGUUAUAUCCUCAAGAGAGAUAACUCUAGCUUUGACAAAGAUGAUAACCAGAUGAGAAUACGUUUGAAAGAUGACAGAAGAAGCAAAUCUAUAGAAGAAAGAGAAGAAGAGUACCAGAGAGCCAGAGACCGAAUAUUUUCCCAAGAUUCCCUGUGUUCCCAAGAGAAUUACAUUAUUGACAAAAGACUCCAAGACGAGGAUGCCAGUAGUACCCAGCAGAGGCGCCAGAUAUUUAGAGUUAAUAAAGAUGCUUCAGGGAGAUCUACAAAUAGCCAUCAAAGCAGCACUGAGAAUGAGUUGAAGUACUCAGAACCACGACCCUGGAGCAGCACAGAUUCAGACAGCUCUCUUCGAAACCUGAAACCUGCUGUAACCAAAGCCAGCAGCUUCAGUGGAAUCUCAGUCCUGACAAGAGGUGAUAGUUCUGGAAGCAGCAAAAGCAUAGGCAGGCUUUCAAAAACAGGUUCUGAGUCUUCUGGUAGUGUAGGGUCAUCUACAGGCUCUCUUUCUCACAUCCAGCAGCCUCUUCCAGGUACAGCUCUCAGCCAGUCUUCUCAUGGCGCACCUGUCGUCUAUCCAACUGUCAGCACUCAUAGUUCUCUUUCCUUUGAUGGUGGCCUAAAUGGGCAAGUCGCAUCUCCUAGCACUAGCUUCUUUUUGCUUCCCUUGGAAGCGGCAGGCAUACCACCUGGCAGUAUUCUGAUCAACCCACAAACAGGUCAGCCCUUCAUAAACCCAGAUGGGAGUCCAGUUGUGUAUAAUCCUCCUAUGACUCAACAACCAGUUAGAUCCCAAGUGCCUGGACCUCCACAGCCACCUCUGCCAGCCCCACCUCAACAACCAGCAGCUAAUCACAUUUUCUCACAGCCUGUUCGUCCUCUGCAGUCCUCUUCACAGCCUGUUCAGUACUCUACAGCCCCUUACCCAUCCCCGCUCCUGCCAGUGUCACCCACCCAGCAAUACUCCGUGCAGGAUAACCUAGGGUCUCAGUUUAGCCACAUGAGUCUUGCUCGCCAGCCAUCUGCUGAUGGUUCUGACCCUCAUGCCGCCAUGUUCCAGUCCACUGUGGUUCUUCAGUCUCCACAGCAGUCUGGUUAUAUCAUGACAGCAGCCCCUCCACCACAUCCUCCUCCACCGCCACCACCACCACCACCACCUCCUCCUCCUCCUCCCCUACCACCUGGGCAGCCAGUCCCUACUGCUGGAUAUCCUGCCUCUGGUCAUCCUGUCAGCCAGCCUGUGCUCCAGCAGCAGGGAUAUAUUCAGCAGCCAUCACCACAGAUGCCAGCCUGUUAUUGCGCUCCAGGCCACUAUCACUCCAGCCAACCUCAGUAUCGCCCAGUCCCUUCUGUUCAUUACAAUUCACAUCUAAACCAACCACUGCCACAACCUGCGCAGCAGACAGGUUAUCAAGUUAUACCCAACCAGCAGCAAAACUACCAAGGAAUAGUUGGAGUUCAGCAACCCCAGAGUCAGAGCCUAGUCAGUGGCCAACCCAACAGCAUUGGAAAUCAGAUUCAAGGAGUGGUCAUCCCCUAUACUUCAGUGCCAACAUAUCAGGUUUCACUGCCUCAAGGUUCUCAAGGAAUUCCCCAUCAGACUUACCAACAGCCUGUUAUGUUCCCUAAUCAGUCUAAUCAAGGAUCUAUGCCCACAACAGGAAUGCCUGUUUACUAUAGUGUCAUUCCACCUGGUCAACAAAACAAUUUAAGCUCUUCAGUAGGUUACCUGCAACAUCCAGGAUCAGAACAAGUACAGUUUCCUCGAACCACUUCACCAUGCAGUUCCCAGCAGCUUCAAGGCCACCAAUGUACAGCUGGCCCACCACCGCCACCUGGUGGGGGGAUGGUGAUGAUGCAGCUCAGUGUACCAAACAAUCCACAAUCUUGUGCCCACUCACCCCCGCAGUGGAAACAAAACAAAUAUUACUGUGAUCACCAGAGAGGACAGAAGUGUGUAGAAUUUAGCAGUGUAGACAAUAUUGUCCAGCACAGCCCUCAACUCAGUAGCCCCAUUAUUUCACCAGCUCAGUCGCCAGCACCAGCUCAGCUGUCCACCCUGAAAACUGUACGUCCCUCUGGACCACCACUUUCCAUCAUGCCCCAAUUUUCUAGACCUUUUGUCCCCGGGCAAGCCAAGCAUGGUGGCUUGUACCUGUAAUCCCAGCAACUCAUGAGGUGGAAGGAUUGCUGGAGGCCAGGAGUUUGAGACCAGCCUGGUCAACAUAGAGAUUCCAGGUAUCCAUUACUUGGCCAGCCACUGCAGUACAAUCCUCCUGCUGUUCUGCACGGACACAUUCCAAACCAACAGGGUCAGCCUGGCAGCAGGCAUGGAAACCGAGGAAGGAGACAAGCUAAAAAAGCUGCAUCCACAGACCUUGGAGCAGGAGAAACAGUUGUUGGGAAGGUCUUGGAAAUUACUGAACUACCAGAUGGAAUAACUCGCAUGGAAGCUGAAAAGCUUUUUGGGGAACUCUUUAAAAUUGGCGCCAAGAUCCGGUGGCUCCGGGACCCCCAGUCCCAACCACGUCGUCACCCCCUCUGCUGUGGCAGUGGGGACAACACUGCCAACCCUGAACGCUCUAAACCCAGUGACUUGGCCUCCACCUACACCGUCUUAGCCACAUUCCCCUCCAUUUCAGCUGCACAGAAUGCACUGAAGAAACAAAUUAACUCAGUUAACAAGUUUAAGCUGAGAACAAGCAAGAAGCACUAUGACUUUCACAUUUUGGAAAGGGCAAGUUCUCAGUAACAGCCACCUUUGGACCCUUCGCCUUUAUGGUUCCCCUGCCCUCUCCCAUCUUUGAUUGGCUUGGUAUUUGGAGCUUCUGUUAACAUUAUAGAGACUCCUAGGAUGUGUGUUCAUGGCGUUAUAGCUUUUGAAGAAAGGCCAGUGAUCCAGCAAAGGGGGAAAAAAUAUGCAUUUCACCCCACAUGACUAGGAAUCCACAUCAGAAUGAUACAGAGUUAGCAGGUUUUUCUAAGGAAAUGCCAUUCAAAUGCCUCCUAACUUUUAUAGUUAUUUUGUUUUAUAUUUCUAAAUUCUUGUAUCAGAUCCAAAGCUCUAUUGUACAGCAAAUUAUUCUUCAAAAUGAUUAUAACCAGUUGCACCCUGUAUUUCUUUUCGCAGCCAGCACAAUGUGACCCAACUUAAAAUUUGGGGAAAAAAGAAUGCAGGAGUGAAAUAACCAAGUCAAAACCAUGUACUAUCUCCUUGGGGGUUAGGGAUGCUAAGAAGAGCCCACAAAUAGAGGAUUACUCUUCCCCUGAAUCUCUAAACUCAGAAACAAUUGCCAAAAAAUACAUAACUCUUCCUUGUAGGGCCCUUUCCUUAUUCAUUUAGGUAGUGUGAACAUUAAGUAUAAAAUAAAUUAUGUUCUUAAUGCCUCUUAAACCACUUACAUUCAAAGGGGAACAGAAAUCAUUCUAAGCAGGAAAAUACUUCCACUUUUUUUUUUUCAAGUAUCUCUCUAAUAACUAAAUGCCACUUAUUUGCAUUCUCCUUGUGGAUUUUUUGUCACCUAAGGAAAUGCAUUUGAUGAGUGCUGGAAACUUCUUAAGUGCUUUACAGUUUGUUUUCAUUGUUUGCAGCGGAUCACUGGACAUCAAAGAUUCAUUGCACUUAUGAACAAGGAACCUUCUUUUCAAUUUCUGUGUAAUUUGCAAGGCUGUACAAUGUGUGCUGAUGCAAGCCUUUUUCAGUUCAAGAGAAUAAAUGUUUACAAAUAUA